CUGAUCUCUUUUUCUAUAAAUAUGUUUGUUUUCGAAGCAUAAUUGACCUAUAAAUUAUGUUAGUUCCUGUUACACAACACGAUGAUUCAAUAUUUCUAUACAUUACAAAAUGAUCACCAUGAUAAGGCUAGUUACCAUCUGUCACUACACUAAGAUAGUACAUAAUUAUGGACUAUAUUCCCCACACUGUACAUUUCAUACUUUCGACAUUUAUUUUGCAACUGGAAGUGUACCUCUUAAAUGUCCCCAUCUAUUUCUCUUCUCCCCCUUACCUCUAGUUACAACUUAAAAGAUUUUUUUAGUAUAGUCGCUAUGUUGUACAACCAUAACCAUUAUCUAAUUACAGAAUAUUUUUAUCAUUCCCAAAUAAAACUCUAUUAGUCAUCCACGCCAAUCACCACUGCACCAUACACAUGUGAGCACACACAUACACACAAUUCCCAGGGAACCACUGAUCUAUUUUCCGUGUGGAUUUAUUUGUUCUAGACAUUCUAUAUAUAUGGUAUCAUACAAUAAAUGACCUUUUGUGUCUGGCUUUUUUCCCACUAGCAUGUUUUCAAGGCUCACAUAUUUGUAGCAGGUGAAGACCUUGUUGUCCCAGGACACAUUGAAAAGACUAUUCUUUUCCUGUGGCGUGCCUGACACAUUGUGGAAAAUCAAUUGACUAUGGACAUAUGGAUUUAUUUUUGGACUCUCAAUUCUAUUGCAUGGAUUCAUUAGGGGAAAAAUCUAUUUAUUAAAGAAUGAAUCUUAAAGACAGACUCAUGGAGAUGACACAUCGUGUUGGGGAAAUUGCUUCAGUUUUGUGCAAGAUCAGAACUUGGUGUCACUAUCCAACUAAUUAUGUGCCAGUUCCUGACAAUGACUUCUACAGGGAGAUGAUCUAUCUGCUGCUCUGUUCUACAGAGUCCUGCAUAUCAGGGCCAAGAACUCAAACUUCCACAUAUCUGGUCAUAAAGUUCUUGGAGCCUCUCCAUCUUACAUGAAUGUGAUUUAGUUUUUACCGCAUUGGGAUGUUUAAUUGUGAAUCUACUUGUUCAUAACACUACUCCAUGCUCAGAGUGACUGGAUCAAAAUCAAAGACAGGACCCAUGUGACACCAAUUGCUAUUCACAUUAUAAAUUGCCUUGCUUCAAACAUAAUUUCUUCAGUAAUCACAGCUUAAUAACAAAGGUACAUAACGUGCAGCCUGUAUGAUCAGAAUUCUCACAACAUUAGUAAGAAGAACAAACACUCCUACUCGUCCAUUAUCAGCACAAUAAUGAACAUAUUUUAAGUAUAAAUUAUUAUAUUUCGCAGAAUUUUGCUCUUCCCAAAUUCCAACACCGUGAAUAAAUAUAAUAGUCAUAUGAAAAAAUGAUGGAGUUUCUAUUCCAGGGAUUGGGUUCAAUGGCAUCUGAGCAUAAUUACCUAUAUAAAAAUAUUCUCUUUCCAGGAUUAUAUUAAAUGGUUACUUCCAAGAAGAGUGAAGAACACUUAAAAGUCCACAUCAUUCACCUACUUUCCAGAGUUUCAGAAUAAAGAUGAACUAGUUAAUUACUUUUAAAGGGGCAAUAAGCAAUCAAAUACCUUGUGAAAGUUAUAAUGCAAAAGUGAUUUUAUUCUCUUUCAGAUGAAAUUGUAUGUUUCAGCACCCUGAGGUAGGAAUAUAGUAAAGAACAGUUUUAAUUUGUUAAUGCAGUCUCAAAAAAUAUCUAGUAAUAACCAAAGUGCUCCAAAGAACUUAUUCAAGUAGCUAUUUCAAUGAAAUACAGAAAAAAAAAGGAAGACAUGGACCAUCUUAGGGAGGGCAGGGAGAGGCUACAAAUAAGCUAUGUUAAUAAAUAUAAAUUAGCGCUAUGAAAAUUUGGGUCAGAGACUUAAUAUUUGAUAAAGUCUUUACAGAAAUUUACUUUUGAAUGAGGUUUUGAUAGAGGAAAGGAGGAUGUUAUGGGAAAGAGAAUAGAAUUUAAAGAUAUUUUGUUUGAUUUAUGGUAUUUUAUAAUGAACACAACUUUAAAGGCAGUCCAUAUAAUCUGAUUUGAAAAGUCAGUGACUGAUGACGAAAAAAGAAAAUAUGGGUUACCUACUGAAUUUGUUUGUAUGAGUAAUGCAGGUAAUAAAUAUUUUAAACUCUCUUUUAUUCAGAGCUUUUCUUUGAACUCUUCUAUAUUAUUUCAAAUCAAAUCUCUAAAUUGUCAACCCCUGUAAACAACAAAAUUACAUUUUUCAAAUAACAAAAACUAGAAACAGUAUAAGACUGUCUUGAAAGCAAAUUUGUUUGUUCUUCAUAGAAAAGUGUUGAGCUGGAUAAAUUAAUAUUUAUUUUACUUACUUUCAUAUUAUCUGAUAAAUACUGAUUGAUGUACCCUUUAACAGGACUUCAGUUUCUCCCAUAAUUCCAGAAGAAAUUAUCUUUGUAGAGUCAAUCAGAAAGUCAAAUUAAUCAAAACAAUAAAGUUUAUAGUAUUUUUGUAAAAAUUACAAUUAUAAUUGUAAAAAUUUACAUUUUCAAUGAUAAUAAAACAACUUUC